GAUUAACGCUGGCGGCGUGCAUAACACAUGCAAGUCGAACGAUGAAACUUAGUAGACUUCUUCGGAAAGACACUCAGCGGGUUAGUGGCGACCGGGUGAGUAACGCGUGAGUAACCUGCCUUACACAAGGGGAUAGCGCUUGGAAACGAUGAAUAAUCCUCCAUAAAACCAUAAAAGCACGUGUUAGAAUGGUCAAGGUGAUAGCGGUGUAAGAUGGACUUGCGUCUGAUUAGCUAGUUGGCGAGAUAAAAGCUCACUAAGGCAGCGAGCAGUAGCGGGCGGGAGAGAGUGUACGGCCACAUUGAGACUGAGACACGGCCCAGACGGCUACGAGAGGCGGCAGUGGGGAAUUAAGGACAAUGGGGGAAAUCCAGAUGCGGCGAGGGCGCGAGAUUUAGAAGGCCUUCGGAUAGUAAAAAUCUUUUGGAUGAGGAGAAAGUGACAGUACUAGACGAAUAAGGUCCGGCUAAUUACGUG
rnacentral:rRNA from 1 species